rnacentral:rRNA from 1 species
GAUGAACGCUGGCGGCAUGCCUAACACAUGCAAGUCGAUCGGUAAGGCUCUUCGGAGUACACGAGAGGCGGACGGCUGAGUAACGCGUAGGAACACACCCUGCAGUGAGGGAUAAGACACCGAAAGGUGUUCUAAUACCGCAUACGGUCUUCGGAUUAAAGCAUUUAUGCGCUGAAGGAGUGGCCUGCGUCAUAUUAGAUAGUUGGUGAGGUAAUGGCUCACCAAGUCGAUGAUGUGUAGCUGGUCUGAGAGGAUGAUCAGCCAGACUGGAACUGAGACACGGUCCAGACUCCUACGGGUGGCAGCAGUGAGGAAUAUUUCACAAUGAGCGAAAGCUUGAUGGAGCAAUGCCGCGUGCAGGAUGAAGGCCCUCGGGUUGUAAACUGCUUUUAUAAGAGAAGAUUAUGACGGUAACUUAUGAAUAAGGGACGGCUAACUACGUG